AUGUCUUCACCGCCGCCAAGCCCAUCUCUUUCGCUGCCGGUCACCUCGUCGCCUCCGGCGACCACCACGACCGUCGCCCCGCUCCUCCGUCGUGCCCGUCCCCGCCGUCCUCACCCUGGAGGAGGUGUCCGGGGUGUUGCCCAGGUGGUCCAGGAGAUCCACUUGUUCUUGGCCGUGUCCUACGGGCUGCACCCGGCUGGGCUGCCCAUCGCCGCCCCCGCGCCGCUGUGGCUGCAGUGGCAGCCGCCGCACCAAGCGGCCUUCGCCGCGCUCGCCGGGCCGCUGCAGCUGCCAUCCAUCGCCACCACCGCCCAGCCCUGGCUGCGCCCAGCCCUGGCUGCAGUGGCAGCCGCCGCUCCUGGCGGCCUCCGCCGCGCCCGGCGCGACACCGCAGCAGCCGCUACAGCUGCAGCAGCCACCGCCGGUCUGCUCCGCCGCCCAGUAUGGGAUGCCCUACGACGGGACUGCGACGACCUCGUUCCCAUCAGCGUCGCCGCCAUCCCAGGGCGUCCACAUCCAGCAGAUCAAGUCCCCGCCGUCGCCAUCACCGCUUCCGUCUUGGAUCGCUACGCGUCGGCGGCGGUGAGGCUGCAGGCUGCUGCGCGCGGCCUCCUAGCGCGUCGGCGUGUGCGGUAG
rnacentral:rRNA from 1 species